rnacentral:rRNA from 1 species
GAACUACCGUGUGCUAUAGUGCAAGUCGAGCGACAGAUAAGGAGCUUGCUCCUUUGACGUUAGCGGCGGACGGGUGAGUAACACGUGGAUAACCUACCUAUAAGACUGGGAUAACUUCGGGAAACCGGAGCUAAUACCGGAUAACAUAUUGAACCGCAUGGUUCAAUAGUGAAAGGCGGCUUUGCUGUCACUUAUAGAUGGAUCCGCGCCGUAUUAGCUAGUUGGUAAGGUAACGGCUUACCAAGGCAACGAUACGUAGCCGACCUGAGAGGGUGAUCGGCCACACUGGAACUGAGACACGGUCCAGACUCCUACGGGAGGCAGCAGUAGGGAAUCUUCCGCAAUGGGCGAAAGCCUGACGGAGCAACGCCGCGUGAGUGAUGAAGGUCUUCGGAUCGUAAAACUCUGUUAUCAGGGAAGAACAAAUGUGUAAGUAACUGUGCACAUCUUGACGGUACCUGAUCAGAAAGCCACGGCUAACUACGUGCCAGCAGCCGCGGUAAUACGUAGGUGGCAAGCGUUAUCCGGAAUUAUUGGGCGUAAAGCGCGCGUAGGCGGUUUUUUAAGUCUGAUGUGAAAGCCCACGGCUCAACCGUGGAGGGUCAUUGGAAACUGGAAAACUUGAGUGCAGAAGAGGAAAGUGGAAUUCCAUGUGUAGCGGUGAAAUGCGCAGAGAUAUGGAGGAACACCAGUGGCGAAGGCGACUUUCUGGUCUGUAACUGACGCUGAUGUGCGAAAGCGUGGGGAUCAAACAGGAUUAGAUACCCUGGUAGUCCACGCCGUAAACGAUGAGUGCUAAGUGUUAGGGGGUUUCCGCCCCUUAGUGCUGCAGCUAACGCAUUAAGCACUCCGCCUGGGGGAGUACGACCGCAAGGUUGAAACUCAAGGAAUUGACGGGGACCCGCACAAGCGGUGGAGCAUGUGGUUUAAUUCGGAGCAACGCGAAAACCUUACCAAAUCUCACAUCCUUUGACCGCUCUAGAGAUAGAGUCUUCCCCUUCCGGGGACAAAGUGACAAGUGGUGCAUGGCUGCGUCAGCUCGUGUCGUGAGAUGUUGGGCUAAGUCCGGCAACGAA